rnacentral:lncRNA from 1 species
GCAAAGAGUAACAUAGCACGAAGUAGAAGGACCCAGAUCCCCAAGGAUUUUGUGGAACAGAGCUGCCAUAUUAGGUUGGGACUAUGGAACUGUGACAGCUGUACCUUAUCCUAAUGGAGAAUUUCUCCAGAUCAACAGCCCCAAAUUUCCAGCCUCUCUGUGUCUGCAAGGACACCCCACCUGUCCCAUUGCAGUGAUGAGCAGAGCUUCGAGGUUGUGCUUUGACUUCAGACCAACUUCUCUACUUCUGCAGACAACCUCAUCACCUCCUGCCUAUUUGCAAGUGGACUUUCU